rnacentral:rRNA from 1 species
CAACGAAUAUUCCGCAAUGGACGCAAGUCUGACGGAGCGACGCCGCGUGCAGGACGAAGUCCCUCGGGAUGUAAACUGCUGUCAGGGGUGAGAAAGAAUGUGAUCAGCCCCAGAGGAAGCAUCGGCUAACUCCGUGCCAGCAGCCGCGGUAAUACGGAGGAUGCGAGCGUUGUUCGGAAUCACUGGGCUUAAAGCGCAUGCAGGCGGAACGGAAGGUGCUUUGUGAAAUCCCUCGGCUCAACCGAGGAAU